GGCUCAGGACGAACGCUGGCGGCGUGCCUAAUACAUGCAAGUCGAGCGGACAGAUGGGAGCUUGCUCCCUGAUGUCAGCGGCGGACGGGUGAGUAACACGUGGGUAACCUGCCUGUAAGACUGGGAUAACUCCGGGAAACCGGGGCUAAUACCGGAUGCUUGAUUGAACCGCAUGGUUCAAUUAUAAAAGGUGGCUUUUAGCUACCACUUACAGAUGGACCCGCGGCGCAUUAGCUAGUUGGUGAGGUAACGGCUCACCAAGGCAACGAUGCGUAGCCGACCUGAGAGGGUGAUCGGCCACACUGGGACUGAGACACGGCCCAGACUCCUACGGGAGGCAGCAGUAGGGAAUCUUCCGCAAUGGACGAAAGUCUGACGGAGCAACGCCGCGUGAGUGAUGAAGGUUUUCGGAUCGUAAAACUCUGUUGUUAGGGAAGAACAAGUACCGUUCGAAUAGGGCGGUACCUUGACGGUACCUAACCAGAAAGCCACGGCUAACUACGUGCCAGCAGCCGCGGUAAUACGUAGGUGGCAAGCGUUGUCCGGAAUUAUUGGGCGUAAAGCGCGCGCAGGCGGUUUCUUAAGUCUGAUGUGAAAGCCCCCGGCUCAACCGGGGAGGGUCAUUGGAAACUGGGGAACUUGAGUGCAGAAGAGGAGAGUGGAAUUCCACGUGUAGCGGUGAAAUGCGUAGAGAUGUGGAGGAACACCAGUGGCGAAGGCGACUCUCUGGU
rnacentral:rRNA from 1 species